UUAUAUAGCUUAUGUUCAAGUUGUAACGUGGUAUAACAAAAUGGAAUUUAAAAAAAUUUUUCGAUUUGUAUUAAUAGCAACAACUUUUUUAUUCAAUUACAUUUAUUGUAAAAAUCACAAAAUGCACGAAAAGUGGUUCGAGCACACGUCAAAAGUGAGUCAAUUCAACUGCAGGGUUCCUCAAGCAAGAAGUUUUAAAAGUGAUGAAAUAUUGGAAAAACAUAUAGUUAAUUCAGCAAGGACAAUAUUUCCAUCAUCUACAGUCCUACAUCGAUGUGAUCGAGCCGGGUGCUGCCAGGGUGGAAAACACUGUUCACCAAUAGCCAUUGAAAUGGUUAAUUUAGUGUUUUUAAUUACCACUGGCAAUGAGCAAAAUCUAUCAUAUCCUACUGUUGAAGCUGUGAAUCAUACCAUUUGUGGAUGUGAACAUACCCGUGAUAGACCUAAAUAAGAAAUUCAGUGACUAGUUUGUGUAUGAACUAUUUUUUUAAUUUAUCUGUGAUAUUUAUAAUACCUGUUAUCUCUGUUUGUUAUUUUUUGUAAGUAUGUUAAUAAAUUAUUUUAUAAUUGCAUAA